CCAUUUGUUGCUAUGACUAGUGCAGAAUUCUGCACCAUUCUUGGAUGAGUUACUGGUCACAUAAUAUCGAGGGUGUCAGCUUUUUGAGAUGAUCCUAAUUAUCCUAUAGAGUACAGACUGAAGCUAGUAUAUCAAUGGGAAAUAUUCUCUCCGUGGAUUAAUAAGGAUCCACAGAAUACAGAAGUUGGAGGUGAAUUAUUUUCGACGCCAUUGACCUGAAACACCAUCUAGGGGAUCAUACUUAUGUCUCAGUAACUGAUAGUGGUUACUGGCAGAUAGAGCUAGAAGGUCUUGACAUUGCAAACAGUUCAACAGGUCACUGUUCGGCAGAAUACUGCAUCAUGUGAAGAGAUGGCUACAACAAUGUCUACGGCAGAAUCUGUAGCUCUUAAAGGACUACCUCAAUGCAUUGUUACUGUGAUAGCUGAGUUUGCCAGAUUCAGCAAGACUUUGAUAUUAUACUGGAGCCAUGUCCCAUGUUUGCUGAAGCCAUCCUUCAAGUCAGAAUCAGUACCCUGGGGUGCUCCUAAUAAGCUUCUUGGAGCUGAUGGCAGCUGGAUAAGGCACUGUGUCAUGUUCCUGAGUGGCUGACCUCAUGAGAUAAUAAAAUCAACCUUCAGAAGUGACAGAGAUGCCAGCUGCUCCUGUACACCCUUUCCACUCCAAGAUGAACAUUCGAAGAGGGGUACUAGAAGAAGAAUGUGCAGACAUAAUGCAGCACUUCUCCCGACUCAAAAGGAGGAAGGCAAAGGAAAAGGAAAAGGAAAAGGAAAAGGAUAUAUC